rnacentral:rRNA from 1 species
AGUGAACGCUGGCGGUAGGCCUAACGCAUGCAAGUCGAACGGCAGCACAGUAAGAGCUUGCUCUUACGGGUGGCGAGUGGCGGACGGGUGAGGAAUACAUCGGAAUCUACUUUUUCGUGGGGGAUAACGUAGGGAAACUUACGCUAAUACCGCAUACGACCUACGGGUGAAAGCAGGGGAUCUUCGGACCUUGCGCGAUUGAAUGAGCCGAUGUCGGAUUAGCUAGUUGGCGGGGUAAGGCCCACCAAGGCGACGAUCCGUAGCUGGUCUGAGAGGAUGAUCAGCCACACUGGAACUGAGACACGGUCCAGACUCCUACGGGAGGCAGCAGUGGGGAAUAUUGGACAAUGGGCGCAAGCCUGAUCCAGCCAUACCGCGUGGGUGAAGAAGGCCUUCGGGUUGUAAAGCCCUUUUGUUGGGAAAGAAAAGCAGCAGGUUAAUACCCCGCUGUUCUGACGGUACCCAAAGAAUAAGCACCGGCUAACUUCGUG